AGACGAAUAAGUGGAAAGGAAGACGGGAAGACAGGAAGGAUCUGGGAGCAGAAGAGAAAAAUAGAGAAGGGAGGAGGAGAGGUAUAUAUAAAGUGGAAAUAUGAAGAGGGGCGGAACUACCGGCGAGGAGCGGGGAGGGGGGGUCGGCACGGGAGGCGGGCGGAGGCGAGGCGGAGGAGGUGCAAGUCCGGAAGGAAAAUCCCUUCAUAAAAUACGGCCUUAUCACAAACGAGUUAUAAAUUUCAUGACUCACAAAUCUCUAUUUUUUUCUCAAGUUGUGAAUACGAGACAAAAAAUCGCUCUCUUCGUUGUCGUUGACGGCUAGAUGAGAAAAACAAAACCAAAAAACAUUGUCCCAGACGUUACAAGCGCAGUCUCGUUCCCGGCUGCUCUCCGGCCGGCUACAGUUUGCUGUGUUUUGGUAUCGCGUCCGUUUACAGUUCCCAGUAUGUAUAUAAGGAGGCCGCGAAGAGAGAACAAGUGAGCAUCGCACUCCGCCAGGCUGCCUCACCUGACUCACUGGAAAAGGGAUCACAGGCCGACGCUGAGCUGCCGCCGCCAUGUCGCUCGAGAUCCACGUGGUCAGGGCCUCCAACCUGCAGAACCUCGAGAACUUCGGCAAGAGUGACCCCUACGUUACUGUCGACUUCCAAGGUGA